rnacentral:tRNA from 1 species
GAAGUAUAAUGAAUUUCAAAAAAAAGCUGCUAACUUAUUUUUUAAUGGUUUAAUUCCAUUAAUACUUCU